rnacentral:lncRNA from 1 species
GAGUGCUGGAUGGAGAGAGGGCCUAAAUAUGGCAUGCGAAAAUGCACUUCCUCGAUAUGAUCCAACUGCUUACAACACCAUACUCAGGAAUGCAAGGCCUCAUGGCAUCAACAAGAGCGGCCCUCCUGAGCACAAGCUGUUUGGAUUCACCUACCUCCGGCUGUCGAAUCAGUUGGUGGAGGGACAAAACUAUGUCAAUUUCAAGACCUUUGUUGACAGAAUGCAUGCCAACCUGGUUAGUGCCACAACCCCUUGUUCAUGCAUGUCAAAAAUUAAACAGAGGAAUCAUUAAUUUGUUGAUUUGCACCGGCCUAUUACAAUAAUGCAAUUUGAUUCUUUUCAGCCUCAUGACCCAUGUGUUGAUCCAGUGGCGCCUUUGCAAAGAUCAGGGCCAGAACUGACGAUUGAAAUGAUCCUACAAGCAGCGCAGCCAAAACUGGAUCCAUUCCCCUUUGAAGAGCACACCGACCUGCGAGUUCAAGGCCUCGGUGGCAUCGGUGGGGAUGUUGAAGGCCCCACUGGUGGCAUGGGUGGGGAGGUUCAAGACCCCACUGGUAGCAUGGGUGGGGAGCUCCCUGCCACCGUGUAAUGAAACCUUUAUGAUCUACAGUACCUUUUAUGUUGUGUGUGACAGAGAAACCUUUCUCUGCCUUAUUAAUAGCAAUAAAUAAAGCACAUCACUUGUGCGUGUUCUGGAAGAAAAAUCUCAGUGCUGGAAGGGUUAAUCUUCUCUUUGUGAGAAUUAACCGUGCCCUAGAAAUAAGCCGAUGAGGAUAAAUAAGAUGUGGUGCUACAGUACAUCAUGAGGAUUACUCAUCAAUAUUGGAUUAGUCAUCAAGAGGAUGCUUUUCCAAUGAGCUGUAGUACAUCAGACCUUACAUACCUCCAUUAUGUGCAUAUGAGUGAAUGAACAAACUAUUUUGUGCUCAUUUAGCGAUUGUAUAUGGGUCCAUCAUUUUGGAUUGCAUGUUCACGAUUACCACUCGCAUGGCUUUGACUAAUGUUACGUGGUAAACUACUAAGUGUCCAAUCUACUUCGUUGGAUUUUUUGACCAUUUUGGAUCAAGAGUUUUAGAAAAAAGUUUCAUCUUCGUAAUCAAGCCGUAAAUUUUGUAUGUAGUUUGGUCGCAGUUUACGAAGCUACUCAAGACGAUCAUAAACUAUCUUUUCUUGGUGAACCGGUCAAUCCUGCUAAAGAAAUUCUAUAUUCAUUGUUCAUGGGUGGGGAAUUCAACAUCCUAUGGUUUCAGCAACGAUAAAAUAAUUAGUUUUACAGUUCUUUCUUAUUCAGCAUUGCCAUUGACAAUUUGGAUCUACCUGAGAUAUUUCUGGACAUCAAUUUACCUGGGCUAAUACCCGGCUAGAGUCGACGUUUGAAAAUAUGGGUCACGUGCCAAUGGAUGCUGGUUGGGAAUUGAAAUUUCUUUUGGUAACAAUACAUGAUUUGGUACGUACCAAAGCAUCGCAAUACACCGCUCAGUCAAGUUCGAAUGGUUUGUUGAUGUAGUCAACAAGGUUUUGGAUGGUCGAUGAUGGGUAGAUCGCCUUCCCAAGGGGUUAAAAAAAAUCCUCACUUUGCAACAGUUCCUCGCAUGGAGGGAGUUCUCCCACUGAAUCGAAUCUCUCCCGCGACCUAGGCUAGGGUUCCAUCCCCCGCGUUCCCGUCCGCCCACUCGCCCCCCUCCCGCCCCCCUCGCGCGGGCGAUGGGCGGGCCCCUGCCGCUCCCUCUCCUCCGGCCCCCCUCCCCGCCCCUCUCCCUCNNNNNNNNNNNNNNNNNNNNNNNNNNNNNNNNNNNNNNNNNNNNNNNNNNNNNNNNNNNNNNNNNNNNNNNNNNNNNNNNNNNNNNNNNNNNNNNNNNNNNNNNNNNNNNNNNNNNNNNNNNNNNNNNNNNNNNNNNNNNNNNNNNNNNNNNNNNNNNNNNNNNNNNNNNNNNNNNNNNNNNNNNNNNNNNNNNNNNNNNNGGCGCGGUCGUUGGCCACGUGGCGGCGUGGCGGUACUGGUGGCCGGCGGCACCGCGCGGCCCAGAUCUGGGCCCUUUCGGGCUCCAUCUGGGCUAGGGUGGGCCGGUGACUGGGUGCGCGGCGACGUUGCUCCCUGGUUGGUGGCGAGGAGGCGGUGGUCUGCGGGAGGUGGCGGCUUCGUCGGCCGGCGAGCUGCUGCGUGACGGUAGGGGCUGUCCGGACCCUUUUGGGUCUGGCCGGGCCUCGGCGCUUGGCAGGCCUCUUGUCCGUGCGUCCGUCCGGCUCCGCGGCAGCAUUGGUGGUUGUCCCCUCACGUCGGCGAUAUUGCAGAUGCCCUUGAGGCCACUAUCUCUUCUUCCGUCCUCCAGGUUGUGUUGGUGACCUCAGGGAGACGACGAAGUUGAUUCGGUGUCCGUGGUGGCACAUGUUGGUGGGCGGCGUGAUGGGCGGUGCACUAUGAUUCGUCUGGGGUGGUGGUGGGGGUUUGGGUUGGGAGAAAUCUCUGGCGGCUCGUUCGGCCCCAACGCGGCGAUGCCUGUGGGUGCCGUCGGACCUCCCUGAAGGGCGUCGGGUACGCUCUCCCCCCACUNNNNNNNNNNNNNNNNNNNNNNNNNNNNNNNNNNNNNNNNNNNNNNNNNNNNNNNNNNNNNNNNNNNNNNNNNNNNNNNNNNNNNNNNNNNNNNNNNNNNNNNNNNNNNNNNNNNNNNNNNNNNNNNNNNNNNNNNNNNNNNNNNNNNNNNNNNNNNNNNNNNNNNNNNNNNNNNNNNNNNNNNNNNNNNNNNNNNNACCCUAGGACUAAUCCGGGUAACAACGGCGUCGUCGUCGCCUCCUUCUUGAAGGUGUUGCUUGGUACGCGGCGCUUCAGAGUGCCGGGAGCGUGGUGGUACUUCUCCGGAGGGUGCAGCGGUCGCCGGUCGUCUUCGUUUCGUUGAUCUGCCAUUGUUGGCAUUUCUUUCUCUUUCUUUUUUCUCUGUUUUUCUUUGGGCUUGUUUGUGCUGCGGCCCCAACACCUAUCGUUGGAUGUAUCGAUGGUUGCUUUGUAAUACAAAGCAAGGAGAAACCCUUUUUCGUAACAGUUCCUCGCAUGAUAGGAAGUAAACACCACGGCAUAUACUAUAAAAAAACGCCCAUAUCCGACCGGGUCCUUUAACUAUGGCACAGCCCAUUAGGACAUACUUUUAUAGUAUGUAUUUUUUAUCUUCAACGUGUUAAAAUAUUAUUAUAAAUAGAUUUAUAACAAAAAGUUUUUGUGUACUGGGAACAAGUGUAGUGUGUUUUAAAAUAAAUGUGCAUGACGUCAAAAACGAAUGUUUACAUAGCUCGCUAGGGAUGUUUAUGUAUUCGUGAACAAAAUGUUAAUAUGUAUAAAAAAGGUUAAUGACUUCAUAAACAGUUUUAUGAACUUCAAAUAUUUUUUCUUAUAUACCUUUCUUUGCAAUGAAUGUGGAAUACGGUUGACGGGGAGUUUCGAUAUGACGGCCUUAAGCGGGAACUGUUGGAGCAAAUGUCGAAAGUAAAUCUCCAUAAUUAUAUUUAGUCUGGAAAAUGGUUUUAAAUUUUAAACGUAUGUGUUGCAAAAAAAAAAAGUUCACCUAUACGAAUAAUGCUCAUGUAUCAGGAAUACAAUUUGGUGACGAAUCAUAAAAAUAUAUUUCCAUAUGUGAGAAAGCAUUCACUUAUUUCAAGCCAGGAUGAUCAUGGUAUGGAAAUGUGACAUAAAGCAAUGUUCAUGUAUAAGAAAAAUUGUCCUCAUAUAUACUGUACAACUCCUUUUUUAUCGAGGUGUCGUGAGCUGCUAUGCGUAUAGGAAUUUGCCGAGUUUAAGGGCUGGCCGGUUGUUCUGCUCCUAGUUUUUUUGUGGCACAGUAUAAUCAAAGUCCCUCACAUACACGAGCAUAUAUCUGCCCUUAUGAACGCACACCAUAUCCCUAUAAGCAUCUUAAAAGACUGAGUUGGCAUAACAUCUUGAGAUUUCACAUAGUCACCACAAGCGCCUCGCAGUUGACGGAAAUGUUUCCUACGGGUUUACGGGCUGGCCGUUUGUUUUGCUCGAGUAAUGCUACAUUCACGGAUGAUUAUGAGGGUUUUACAGGGUCAUUAUGACUUGGCAAAUGGUUAUUGAGUUAAGGGGGAGGGAGGGGCCCCACCCACCUGAACCUCCCCGUAAUCAUCUGUGAAUGAAUUAAUGCUCCCCGAAAAAAAAAACAUCCGUGAAUGUAGCAUUAUUAAUUCUACUCCUCGUUUUGGGUUGAGAGUGAUGGCUCGUAGGAGUUUAUCGGUCCCCGGAAGAAUCACUCUCCCGGCAUGAUGGACCCUAGUUUCUUAGCUCUGGCGGCGACCCAAAAUGAUGCCUCCCUUUUGAUGUUGUCGAGAAGAACCGUAGGCGGAGCGGCCAUGUUGCGGAAUACACGGGCGUUUCACCCGUUCCAGAUCGUCCAUGUAGUGAGCAUGGUGAGCGAGGCCAUGGCCUUCCGGUUGGGGACGGAAGUAUCUGUCAACCCAAGCCACCAGUCUAAGGUGGAAUGCCUUAGGGGCCAAGUGGAGGUGUCAACGUGAAUGAGUUGUAGCCACACCUUGACCAAGCCCCAUAGGCGAAUGGUGAAACGGCAUUUGAAGAAGAGAUGGUUAACCGACUCAUUCUCACGCAUGCAUAAGGGGCAUGAGCCACAUGUUGGAAAUAUGCCCUAGAGGCAAUAAUAAAAUGAUUAUUAUAUUUCCUUGUUCAUGAUAAUUGUCUAUUAUUCAUGCUAUAAUUGUGUUAUCCGGAAAUCGUAAUACAUGUGUGAAUACAUAGACCACAACACGUCCCUAGUGAGCCUCUAGUUGACUAGCUCGUUGACCAAAAGAUAGUCACGAUUUCCUGACUAUGGACAUUGGAUGUCAUUGAUAACGGGAUCACAUCAUUAGGAGAAUGAUGUGAUGGACAAGACCCAAUCCUAAGCAUAGCUCAAAGAUCGUGUAGUUCGUUUGCUAUAGCUUUUCCGAAUGUCAAGUAUCAUUUUCUUAGACCAUGAGAUUGUGCAACUCCCGGAUACCGUAGAAGUGCUUUGGGUGUGCCAAACAUCACAACGUAACUGGGUGACUAUAAAGGUACACUACGGGUAUCUCUGAAAGUGUCUGUUGGGUUGGCACGAAUCGAGUCUGGGAUUUGUCACUCCGUAUGACGGAGAGGUAUCUCUGGGCCCACUCGGUAAUGCAUCAUCAUAAUAAGCUCAAUGUGACCAAGUGGUUCAUCACGGGAUCAUGCAUUACGGAACGAGUAAAGAGACUUGCCGGUAACGAGAUUGAACGAGGUAUUGGGAUACCGAUGAUCGAGUCUCGGGCAAGUAACGUACCGAUUGAAAAAGGGAAUUGAAUACGGGAUUGAUUAAGUCCUCGACAUCGUGGUUCAUCCGAUGAGAUCAUCGAGGAGCAUGUGGGAGCCAACAUGGGUAUCCAGAUCCCGCUGUUGGUUAUUGACCGGAGAGGCGUCUCGGUCAUGUCUGCGUGUCUCCCGAACCCGUAGGGUCUACACACUUAAGGUUCGGUGACGCUAGGGUUGUAGAGAUAUUAGUAUGCAGUAACCCCGAAAGUUGUUCAUAGUCCCAGAUGAGAUCCUGGACGUCACGAGGAGUUCCAGAAUGGUCCGGAGGUAAAGAUUUAUAUAUAGGAAGUCCAGUUUCGGCCAGCGGGAAGGUUUCGGGGGUUACCGGUAUUGUACCGGGACCACCGGAAGGGUCCCGGGGGUCCAUCGGAUGGGGCCACCUAUCCCGGAGGGCCCCAUGGGCUGAAGUGGCAUGGGAACCAGCCCCUGAUGGGCUGGUGCGCCCCACCCAAGGGCCCAAGGCGCCUAGGGUUGGAAACCCUAGGGGGCCGUUGCCCCCCGAGGGGGCAUGCGCCCCCCUGGUUGGAAACCCUAAGGGGGCCGUUGCCCUCAGGCCCCCCCUUUUAGAUGGGAUCUCCCCCCUAGCCCCUAUAUAUAGUGGAAGGGAGGGAGGGCAGCCACACCUUGCUCUUGGCGCCUCCCUCUCCCUCCGUAACACCUCUCCUCCCCGCUUGUGCUUGGCGAAGCCCUGCCGGGAUCCUGCUGCAUCCACCACCACGCCGUCGUGCUGCUGGAUCUUCAUCAACCUCUCCUUCCCCCUUGCUGGAUCAAGAAGGAGGAGACGUCUUCCCAACCGUACGUGUGUUGAACGCGGAGGUGCUGUCCGUUCAGCACUUGGUCAUCGGUGAUUUGGAUCACGGCGAGUAGGACUCCAUCAUCUCCGUUCACUUGAACGCUUUCGCUCGCGAUCUACAAGGAUAUGUAGAUGCACUCCGAUUCCCCUCGUUGCUAGAAUACUCCAUAGAUUGAUCUUGGUGAUGCGUAGAAAAUUUUUAAUUUCUGCUACGAUCCCCAACACCACAGUUAGGCCAACCGCGCUUGGCCAAUCGGUCCAGACUCUAUUUUGGAUGGCCAGCCAAGCAAAGAACUUGACCUUGGGUGGAGCCCAAAUUUUCCACACUGCAUGCUUCAAGGGAGAGCGAAUGAGGCCAAGAAAUUGCGCUUUGUAGGCGGACUCCGCCGAAUAGAGGCCACUAGUAAAAUGCUUCCAAACAAUCUCGUCGUCAAUAUCCUCAUGUAGAUGGAAAUCCCGGAUGGUGGCCCAAAGCUCGAGAAAUUGUCUGAAGUGCUCUAUAGAAAAACUGGACGUCAUCUUGAUCUGUUUAACCCAAGCACCAUCCUUUAGUGCUUCCCGCACCUUCCAAUUCUUACGCCGCGUAGAUGAGAGGGGCCAUAUCCAUGGGUUUGCGGUUGUGCACCCAUGGAGAGUCCCAAAAGGUGGUGUGCGCGCCAUUUCCCACGAUAAUAAUUGAGGAGGCAUAGAAGAAGUUGUAGUCCGCGUUAUCGCACGGGUUGUCCAUGCCAACCCACAUUUUAGUUGGGUCCUUCCAUUCAAACCAUACCCAACGAAGCAUCAGUGUCCUAGCAAAUUUCUCCAUGUUUAGCACUUUAAGACCCCAAUUGGCAAUUGGGCGGCAAACGGUGUCUCAAUUAACAUUGCAUUUGGCCCGGUGGUCUUGUCCGUUCCCUCCCAAAGGAACGCUGGCUCAAGCUUGUUGAGAUUUUUGAGGGCGACUUCAUCGUGUGGUACAGUGAAAACGUACGUUCCAUGCUGUACACGGCGCCAGAUAUGGUCUACGUCAGGUCCAGGUCGUAACAAGAAACGGAAACACGAGGCGACGAUCGCGUUUGGAAGGAUGCGCAUGAAUGGACUAGCUUUCGCCUACCGCCCACCGAGCGGCGAGAGCGCAACCUACAUCGACCAACUACCCAGCUGACCUCUACAGACCGGACUUGAAUGUAUGCACUACCUACGUGCUACGUCGGCGGCGAUGGCCGCGUACGCUGGCUACGUGCCGCAUGCAUGGCGAGCUCGGCCCGUGCGUGGCCAGCUAUAGAUACGUACCCCAUGAGUCCCUAGAAACACCUGCCACUGCGAGAGCGAGCGUGUGAGUAGAUCGACGACGAUGACAGACAUGGCCGUGAUGCUGGUGGUGCUGGUAGUGCUGGCCUCAGCUAGGCUAGUUACUCUAGCUGAGUUAGUUCUGUGGUACGCAAGUAUGUUGGUAUGAUCGAAUAAAACGAUGGUGAUCUACGGCGCCAGGCUGCUGGACGCGUCCGACUGCAUCUUGGAGCAGCGCCGGACGGCCCCUCAUAUGUCCUGCCGGACAGGCACUCUCCUCGUAUGGCAAAAUGAAAUUCAAUGUCCUAGACACGGCUGGAUAACGUGAUAAAUCACUCGCCACACGCCAUCCGUGCCGCAUGCUCUGUCAGCAUCCGUGUCGUGUGAUCUAUUGCCAUCCGUUACGCCAACGCCGCCUUGAACUCUCUAUGCAUGGUGAUCUCCUUCUUCCUCCUCUCAAGUCACUUCUUGCCUUCGGCAUCUAAGAGGCUUGCGUCCGUUAAUAUUAUCAUAGAAUCCUCCGUGUCUUGAGCCAGCUGCAACCUCUCCAUUUCAAUCUCUACGGUUCCAAAAGUUCAGGCUUUCUUGAGCUCCCAUUUUGGACACACCUCCUUCUUCUCCAAACUAUCCUCUCCUCAAUUUCUAACUCUCGUUGCUUUACUGAAAAAGGCUUUCGCCCCGCUUUAUAUAUAAAGCAAAGAUUAUCAACAACCCGGUACAACGCACGCCACCAGAAUACACGCACACACCCAGGGCAGGAUACAUAGGCGCUGAGCGCAGCAACACCACCCAUAGCACUACAAUAGCAACCGGGGGCCUCAACCGUGAACACGCCACCGCGAAGAGAAGAAGCUACAUACGAUGAACCGUGGGCUCCAAAGCGGUGCCAACAGGAAGGUUACGACACUGAAGCGCCGCCACCGCCCGACCCAAGGAUCAGGGUUUCCCCUGAAGCAACACGACGGGCAGUGAGAGCCGCGUAGACGCCUUCAAGAAGGGAACGAGCUUUGCCGUCGCUGGUCCGUCCGAAGAUAGAACAUGUUUUCACCACCACCGAACGUCACACCCUGGCUACCAUGCCGCCCACACGGCCAUGGCCACCAGGCAGCACCAAGCCACGAGCUUUGCCCAUGAGCACCGCGACACCACCACCAGGGCCGCCGCCCCGGCAUCCAGGAUCUCGAUGCCACCUCACCCACCACCCACCUCUACCCCAACCAAAGAGACGAGUGGAAAGGAACCGCCUUUCGUACCCCUGAGCAGUCAACGGGCAGCCCCGAGCCAGCGCCACCAUCCUCGCCGCCAAGGGCCGCCGCAUGCAAGGUCGGCCGAAGCCCACACCGCCGCCAGCGCCACCACCAGCACGAACCACCACCACCGCGCCGCCACUCCACCGACCACCGCAGAGACGGCUUCCCACAAAGUACCCAGCCCGCGCCGCCCGCCAGAUCUGGCCGCCGCUGCAACAGCCGGCGUCAGUGCAUGGACUGGCACGCCCCGCCCCUGCACAGCCCACCUCACCGCCAGCAAGGCCCCGAGCUUCCUCCACGCCAACCCACCACCACGUCCCGCGCACCGCAGCGCCCAAGACCAACAUCGCCGGCCCGCGCCAGCCCCUGACGAGCGAGGGGGUGAGAAGUGCCCGCCGCCGCCGGCCAGGCUUCGCCCGGCCGCGCCCUUUGGCGGCGGUGGGAGGGGGAGGGAGAGGCGGGCGGCGGCUAGGGUUCCUCCCCUGCCGCCCGCGGGAGCGCCAGAGGAGGAGGAGGUCGCGUUGACAGUUGUAUUUUGGGCCACUCAUUGCUUUCAUUUGCAACUUAUUGUUUAUCUUCUUCCAGUCCUAAUCCAUCCUCUCUUUAUUCACAGACAAGAUGAGUUUGUACCUCUCCUCUUUUGUGUCCCCCCUUGUGGAAAACUGCGUGCCCAUGUGAUGGACAUUUUUGAUGUCGUGGCAUCACGAACAAUCCUACGCUUCUCCUGAUGAGGUCACCUACUACAGGUAGGGUCAAGGACCUGUCAUAUGGAACCCACCUAGGGCCCCACACCAUCAUCGGUAGGUCUCUGGACCAUAGGUGCAUUCGGAUGCGUAUAACAAAAAGUCGAUUCGAACGCACGGACAUCACUCGGAUGCCUACCCUCCAAUCGGCAUGACCACCACCACUCGGACAAGGGAGGUGGAAGGAUGACAUGGGAGCUGCAACGGUCGAGUAGUCUUAAGUCGAACUUUAAGUAGAGUCAUAGCUACCAUUACAUGUAGCUAUCAUUGAUGGGGUUAUGUACCUAGGGUAGGGUCAUGGACCUGUUCCAAGUAACUUACCCUAGGACAUCCCUAGAAGAGGUCGCCUUCCAGUCGACCAACGAGGAUUCACUCGACUGGCCUGAAGGACUCGACCAUGAAGACUCACUCGACCACCAGGAGGUCAAGAGGCACUCUGCACCGCAACGGCCUGUAAUUAAGUAGACUUUAUGAUAGUAAAGGCACUUUAUGUGGGGCGUUACCAGUAACGCCCCAGACUUAACUCACCUUAAACCCUCUCCUACGUGGGCUGGCUGGGGUCCUGGCGCACUCUAUAUAAGCCACCCCCCUCCACAGGCAGAAGGGUUCGGCACCUUGUAAUCCAUACAUUCAUAAUCCACUCGACCGCCUCCGGGCUCCGAGACGUAGGGCUGUUACUUCUUCCGAGAAGGGCUUGAACUCGUACAUCCUUUGUGCUUACAACCUCUCCAUAGCUAGGACCUUGCCUCUCCAUACCUACCCCCCACUCUACUGUCAGGCUUAGAACCACGACAGUUGGCGCCCACCGUGGGGCAGGUGUUUUAGCGAUUUUGUGGAGAAGUUGCGAUUCUUCCGAGUACUUUCAUCAUGGUGUCUGCUGGAAUUUUGGUCGAGGGUCAAGAGAUCCGUCUCGGCGCUCUCGCCUUCAUCGCCGACGACUCCGCAUGGCUCCAGGAGGCUCCACUCGACGUAGAUGCGCUCCCCGUCCGCGGUGCGACGCAUUUUCGCGCAUGUGUCCGCGGCGUUCUGCUGCGGCAACCAUCGACUCAGUAUCGGUCGGCUCCUCCAUCUUCCACCCUCCCGGUCUCCCGCCAGCGCAAGCGCUCAGGCCGGUCGAGGCUUCAGCGAUGGGUGAGUCACGCGGUGGCUCGCCAGUCAGCCACUACACAAGUUGCGGCAAUCGAGCCCAACGAAUCUCUCUACGGCUUGUUCGAUCAGUCGACUGGCUCCGGAGAGACUGCAUCCGAGUGCGGAAGCAGUGAUCCAGUGGCGGAAAUCUUGAUGGUCGACGGGCCCCACAGUCCUCCUGGCUUCGCCCGUGGUGGUGGAGCAGGCGACGGCGGCGACCCUGCACGAGGCUACGAAGAGUACCAGCCCGAGCCACUCGACUCUCUGCAAAGAGAAGAGCUUCGCCGCAGGAACGAGGAUCCCCUGCGUAUUCCCAUCGCAGGAGAAACCCCCGAGGCUCGUGCCUUGGAGGAGGCGCGUCUGGCCAAUUUGGCCGAGCGCACUCGACUGGAGAACCUUCAGCGAGCACUCGACGAGCGCGCGCGGCAACGAGUUCCCGACACCAGUCGACGUCAACUCUUCCCGCCGACUCAGGUAUAUCGAACCCCAAUUCAGAAUUUAGCAGCUGCGACCCGUAUAGCAGAGUCCAUUCAGCCUUCGCAGUCGGAAGCUGGCAGAGGUUUGCUGCAAAUCAGGGAUCUGCUCCGGGCAGCAGGAGAUCAGAAUUCAGCCGUGUCUCAGUCGCGCAACAGAAUUCACAGUCGAUCUGUCACUGUGAAUACGGUUCAGUCGGCUCACAGCCCCAGAUCGCCUCCGCGGCGCGAAGGGCGUGAGAAUCGGCGAGAUCAAUAUGGCGACAGACUCGACCGAGAUGAUAGGCGUCGAGUGCCCUAUUCCCCUCCGAGGGGUGGGUCUUACGCUCCUCGGCAGCCAGAUGAUAGGCGUCAGUACAGUACAGGGCGUAGGGUUCCAGUUGACCCCAGAGAGCCAGGCUUCGACGCGCGAUCCAUUAUCGUGCAAGGGUUGGUCGACCGGAACAGAGCCCAUCGAGGCGCACUCGACAGAGAUGUGCCCACGAGCAGUCAAGUACAUGUUUCUGGUCCUGAAUGUUUCAGCAGAGCUAUCAGAGCCGCAGUUAUUCCCCCCAAUUUCAGGUUGGCAACAGGAGUCAGCAAGUUCACUGGUGAGUCUAAGCCUGAAACUUGGCUUGAAGACUACCGAGUGGCAGUUCAGAUCGGUGGUGGGAACGACGAGGUGGCCAUGAAGCAUUUGCCCCUCAUGUUGGAAGGUUCUGCCAGGGCAUGGUUGACUCAAUUGCCUCCUAGCAGCAUUUACACUUGGGAAGAUCUGUCCCGAGUGUUCGUCAGAACGUUCGAAGGGACUUGCAAGCGACCAGCGGGAUUGACAGAGUUGCAAGUCUGCAUGCAGAAAACCAAUGAGACUCUCAGAGAGUAUAUUCAGAGGUGGAUCACUUUGCACCACACUGUGGAAAAUGUCUCUGACCAUCAGGCAGUAUGCGCCUUCAAAGAUGGUGUCAAGAACAGAGAACUGAGUUUGAAAUUUGGUCGAACCGGUGACAUGACCUUGAGUCGGAUGAUGGAGAUUGCUACCAAGUAUGCCAACGGCGAAGAAGAAGACCGACUCCGAAGCGGCAAGCACAAGCCGAGUCAGUCGGAAAAAGGAAACACCAGUCGGAAACAGAAGCGGAAGGCUGAACCGGCAGCUCCUGGAGAGGCUCUGGCCGUGACUCAAGGAAAGUUUAAGGGGAAACCAAAAGGAUCCUGGAACCCCAAGAAGGUAAAGGAUAAAGAAGGGAACGACGUGAUGGAUAUGCCGUGUCAUAUUCACACGAAGAAAGAUGAAGAGGGGAAUAUCAUUUACCCAAAGCACACCACUCGCCAAUGUCGACUCCUGAUCCAGCAGUUUCAGGGAAAACAGUCUAAGGACAAGGAGAAGGAGCCGGACAAGGCCGAAGACAAAGAUGACAGUGAGGGAGGAUAUCCGCAUAUCAACUCCACUCUGAUGAUCUUCGCAGAUGUGGAAAGCAGAAGUCGACUGAAAGUGAUUAACCGAGAGGUUAACAUGGUUGCCCCAGCAAAGGCAAAUUAUCUGAAGUGGUCUCAAACACCCAUCACAUUCGACCAAUCUGAUCACCCGAAUCAUAUUGCCACCCCUGGGAGGCAAGCUUUGGUGGUCGAUCCAGUUGUCGAAGGCACUCGACUGACAAAGGUGCUGAUGGACGGUGGGAGUGGGUUGAAUCUGUUAUAUGCAGACACGUUGAAAGGUAUGGGCAUUUCGAUGUCCCGGCUGAGCACUAGUAACAUGAGCUUCCAUGGAGUUAUACCAGGGAAGAAGGCCGAGUCACUCGGCCAGAUAGCUUUGGACGUAGUGUUUGGCGAUUCAAAGCAUUUUCGCAAAGAAAAGUUGACGUUUGAGGUCGUGGAUUUUCAAAGUGCAUAUCAUGCCAUUUUGGGGAGACCAGCCUAUGCACGGUUCAUGGCUCGACCAUGUUACGUGUACCUCAAAUUGAAGAUGCCCGGUCCCAAAGGUGUGAUCACUGUCACCGGUGAUAGGAAAAAGGCUGAGGAGUGCUUUCAGAAGGGCUCCAAAAUUGCCGAUUCCCAAGUGACAGCGGUCGAGUUCGAAGAAUACAAGCAAAACGCAGAUCCGAGUGACUUGCUGCGAUCCAAGAAGCCCGCCACAGAAUCUGCAUUCCAGUCGUCCGGUGAGACGAAGCCUGUUCACAUUCACCCGACCGACCCCGAAGCAGCUCCGACCCGCAUCUCCACAACACUCGACCCAAAAUAGGAAGAAGCGCUCAUCCAGUUCCUCCGUGAGAACUGGGACAUUUUUGCAUGGAAGCCCGCUGACAUGCCAGGUGUUCCCAGGGGACUGGCUGAGCAUCGCCUAAGAGUCGACUCGUCUGCAAAGCCAGUCAAAGAACAUCUUCGGCGGUCCGCCGUCCAGAAGAGAAAGGCCAUCGGUGAAGAAGUGGCUCGACUGUUGGCGGCAGGAUUUAUCCGAGAGAUAUUCCACUCCGAGUGGCUCGCUAAUGUCGUCAUGGUUCCUAAAAAGGACAAGUCGCUCCGAAUGUGCAUUGAUUUCAAGCACAUCAACAGGGCCUGCCCGAAAGAUCACUUUCCUCUCCCUCGCAUAGAUCAAAUUGUUGACUCGACCGCGGGAUGCGAGAGGUUGUCUUUUUUAGAUGCUUACUCCGGGUACCACCAGAUCCGUCUAUAUGGGCCCGAUGAAGUAAAAACAGCUUUCAUCACUCCAUUCGGGUGCUUCUGCUAUAUCACCAUGCCAUUCGGCCUCAAGAAUGCCGGAGCCACAUUUAUGCGAAUGAUCCAGAAGUGUCUACUCACUCAAAUCAGUCGGAAUGUGGAAGCUUAUAUGGAUGAUAUUGUUGUCAAGUCACGAAAAGGUUCCGACCUGCUCGCUGACCUCGCCGAAACAUUUGCCAACCUCAGAAGGUAUGAUAUCAAGCUCAAUCCAUCAAAGUGCACAUUUGGAGUUCCUGGUGGCAAGUUACUCGGUUUUCUCGUUUCCGAACGGGGAAUCGACGCCAACCCAGAAAAGAUUGGCACUAUUCUCCGAAUGAAACGCCCUGUGCGAGUGCACGAUGUCCAGAAGCUUACUGGAUGCUUGGCCGCAUUAAGUCGAUUCAUCUCACGACUCUGUGAAAAGGCAUUGCCUCUUUACCGACUGAUGAAGAAGGCUGACAAGUUCGAGUGGACUCCAGAAGCUGAUGCAGCGUUUGCCGAGCUAAAAGCUCUGCUCUCCACCCAGCCGGUGCUUGCUGCUCCAAUCAGCAAAGAGCCUCUGUUGCUCUACAUCGCAGCCACAGGACAAGUCGUCAGUACUGUGCUAACGGUCGAGCGGGAAGAAGAAGGAAAAGCUCUCAAAGUUCAGCGCCCAGUGUAUUAUUUGUCUGAAGUCUUGACUCCAUCCAAGCAGAGAUAUCCUCAUUAUCAGAAGCUUGUGUAUGGAAUAUACAUGACCACAAAGAAGGUUGCUCAUUAUUUCUCUGACCAUUCAAUCACAGUCGUCAGCGACACUCCACUAUCAGAGAUUUUGCACAACAGAGAUGCAACUGGUCGAGUGGCCAAAUGGGCGAUUGAACUUCUUCCCCUUGAUAUCAAGUUUGAGGCAAAGAAAGCCAUUAAGUCCCAGGCAAUAGCAGAUUUCCUCGCCGAGUGGAUCGAACAGCAGCAGCCGACUGAAGUUCACUCGGAGCAUUGGACCAUGUUUUUCGAUGGUUCUAAGAUGUUGAAUGGUUCCGGUGCUGGGGUUGUCCUGGUUUCCCCCAGAGGAGAUAAGCUCAGAUAUGUGCUCCAGAUUCACUUUGAUUCCUCCAACAAUGAGGCAGAAUAUGAGGCCCUCCUAUAUGGGUUGCGCAUGGCCAUUUCACUCGGCGUCCGUCGCCUAAUGGUCUAUGGCGACUCGGAUUUAGUGGUCAAUCAGGUGAUGAAAGAGUGGGACGUGAGAAGCCCAGCCAUGACUGGAUACUGCAGUGCAGUGAGGAAGCCGGAGAAAAAGUUCGAGGGGUUGGAGCUCCAUCAUAUACCCCGACUGAAAAAUCAAGCAGCUGAUGAUCUAGCAAAGAUAGGUUCCAAGAGAGAAGCCAUUCCGAGUGGUGUGUUCUUGGAGCAUAUACAUACUCCGUCAGUCAAAGAAGAUCCUUUCACCGAAGAAACUCCGCAGCCCAAGAGUGCCACAGAUCCGACUGAAGUUGAAGUCCCAGCGGUGGUCGACUUGAUCAUGGAGGUUUUGGUAGUCAUUCCCGACUGGACGAUUCCGUAUGUCGCAUAUAUCUUGAGGAAAGAGCUUCCGGAGGAUGAGGAAGAGGCUCGACAGAUCGUCCGUCGAUCUAAGGCCUUUACCGUCAUCAAAGGACAAUUAUACAGAGAGAGCACGACUGGAGUCGGUCAGAAGUGCAUAACACCAGAAGAAGGUCGUCUCAUCCUCAAUGAUAUUCACUCGGGGACCUGUGGUCAUCAUGCGUCCUCCCGGACCAUCGUGGCCAAAGCAUACCGAGCCGGAUUUUACUGGCCCAAGGCGAAUGAGAUGGCAAAGGAGAUAGUGGAUAAGUGCGAGGGAUGUCAGUUCUACUCGAAUAUGUCGCACAAACCUGCGUCAGCUUUGAAGACCAUCCCACUCGUCUGGCCUUUUGCAGUCUGGGGGCUGGACAUGGUCGGCCCUUUGAGAACAGGACGAAGUGGCUUCACGCAUGUACUGGUGGCAGUCGACAAGUUCACCAAGUGGAUCGAGGCUAAACCAAUCAAGAGCCUCGACACCGGUACUGCUGUUAGCUUCAUCAGGGAACUAAUAUUCAGAUAUGGAGUCCCGCACAGCAUCAUUACGGAUAAUGGGUCGAACUUUGACUCAGAGGAAUUCAGAACCUUCUGCAACUCCCAGGGCACACGGGUCGACUACGUAUCAGUCGCCCAUCCGCAGUCGAAUGGACAAGCAGAGCGAGCUAAUGGACUGAUUCUCAAGGGACUGAAGCCGCGACUGAUGCGUGAUCUCAAACACGCGGCUGGAGCUUGGGUCGACGAACUUCCAUCUGUACUCUGGGGACUGCGGACCACGCCCAAUCGGUCGACCGGAAGAACUCCAUUCUUCUUGGUCUAUGGAGCCGAAGCAGUCUUGCCGAGUGAUCUUCUCCACAAUGCUCCUCGAGUCGAAAUCUACAACGAAGCAGAAGCUGAACAAGCGCGGCAGGACGCAGUCGACCUUUUAGAGGAAGAAAGGGAGAUGGCUCUGAUCCGGUCGACCAUCUACCAACAAGAUCUGCGCCGUUUCCACGCCCGAAAUGUGAGAGGUCGAGCCUUCCAGGAAGGGGAUUUGGUUCUCCGAGUGGAUCAGCACAAACCACACAAGCUUGCUCCUUCUUGGGAAGGCCCCUUCAUCGUCACCAAGGUUCUCCACAACAGGGCGUACCGUCUUUACAACGUCGAGCAUAAUAUCGACGAGCCCCGAGCUUGGAACGCGGAGCUACUCCGCCCAUUUUACACUUAAGUUUUAUCACUCGGAUGAGUUGCAAUAAAGUACUUUUGUAGUUCAUGGGUUUAGAAAUAAUUGUGUCAUCACUUUUUAUUUUUGUCCACAUAAAAACUCCCCCUCAGUGGGUGGCUUAGCCGCGAAUCCGUUUCGCCUAAGUUUGUAAAAAUCCUAUCGAGUGGUGAGCCAGACUCUCACUCGGAGGCUUAGCUGCGAAUCCGUUUCGCCUAAGUUUAUCAAAAUCCUACCGAGUGGUAAGCCAGCCUUCCACUCGGGGGCUUAGCUGCAGUCCAAGCACUCGCCUAAGUUUAUCAAAAUCCUACCGAGUGGUAAGCCAGCCUUCCACUCGGGGGCUUAGCUGCAGUCCAAGUGCUCGCCUAAGUUAUAAAAAUCCUACCGAGUGAAGAGCAACCCUCUCACUCGGGGGCUUAGCUGCAGUCCAAGCACUCGCCUAAGUUGUGAAAAUCCUACCGAGUGAAGAGCGAUCCUCUCACUCGGGGGCUUAGCUGCAGCCUCGUGCUCGCNNNNNNNNNNNNNNNNNNNNNNNNNNNNNNNNNNNNNNNNNNNNNNNNNNNNNNNNNNNNNNNNNNNNNNNNNNNNNNNNNNNNNNNNNNNNNNNNNNNNNNNNNNNNNNNNNNNNNNNNNNNNNNNNNNNNAAUCCUACCGAGUGAAGAGCAACCCUCUCACUCGGGGGCUUAGCUGCAGUCCAAGCACUCGCCUAAGUUGUGAAAAUCCUACCGAGUGAAAAGCGAUCCUCUCACUCGGGGGCUUAGCUGCAGUCCAAGCACUCACCUAAGUUUAUCAAAAUCCUACCGAGUGGUAAGCCAGCCUUCCACUCGGGGGCUUAGCUGCAGUCCAAGGGCUCGCCUAAGUUAUAAAAAUCCUACCGAGUGAAGAGCGACCCUCUCACUCGGAGGCUUAGCUGCAGCCCAGUGCUCGCCUAAGUGGACUAAAGAAUAAGUCGAUUGCGGUACAGGCACCUUGCUUUGAACCUGCAAAAGACAUUCCGAGCCGAAGGCAAUCAUAUUCAAGCGCCAAAUUCAAGUUUGAAUCGAUAUCUAAAGGAACCGAAAGUGCUCGGGCGUCAAGCCUGUUAAGGUUUGUCGGUUACAAUUCCACUCGGCAUACCGAGGCAAAUUUAAAGUGUCGAGCCAGAAGAAGUUUUUUACCCCUCCUGCGGAGGGCUGGAAGGUGCAACAAAUUCAUCAAGGUCAAUUCCGUCGGCGAUCCGAGUGGCAGCUGCAAGGAAAGUCUCCAUAAAGGACCUGAAGUCGUGCUUCUUGGUAUUGGCCACCCGAAGGGCCGCCAGCUUCUCCUCUCGUGCAUCUUUGCAGUGGACUCGGGCCAGACACAGAGCGACAUCUGCACCACACCGAGCCGAGGACUUCUUCCACUCCUGCACUCGACCAGGGAUCGUGUUCAAGCGGGCCAUCAGCGACUCAAGGUCAUUCUGAAGUGUCUCCUCAGGCCAGAGCGUCGAGUCGAUGCGAGAUGUGGCGGCCUUCAGCCUUGCGAGAUAGUCCACGACAGCUGCGACACGAGACUCCAGUCGGAAAACAUCCAUGGCAACUUCGUCGUUCACCGGAGAAUUGACGGGGUCAAGGUUUGGCUCCAGUCGGCUGGUUUCCUCUUCAAAGUUUUGACAAAAUUCUGCAAGGGCGAUCACUAAGUCAAGGGGAUAGUCGAAUGGAAGAAGCCACAGUUGGAAAUAUUUGCCAAACAUGGAGGUUUACCUUCAAGCAUAAGAAACAGCUUCUUGGCAAGGCCACUCAGGAAGGCCUCCAGUUCAGUUUUCUUCUCAGUCAAUUUGCUGACUUGGUCGGUCAAGGCAGCUUUGUCAGUUCUCAGUCGACUGACUUCCUUGUUGGCAAUCCCAAGAGCAGUUUUCAGAUUGGUAUUGUCUUGUUCGAGCUUGGUGACUGAAGCUAACUUCUCGUCAGCAAGCUUGAUCUUCUCAGCUAGCUCAAGGUCUUUCUUCUGCUGGGCCUCCCUUACCUUACCUGCAAGUUACAGCGAGAUCAGAUGCCGAAACAAGCAAGGGGAAAAGCAGUCGUCAGGGUCUCACCAAACAUACCUUCGGUCUCCUCCUUUGCCUUUGUCAGCUUCUCCUGAACCAGCUUCAAGCUCAGCUCGACUUGAGUAUGCUUUUGUUCCAGCUCUGAGUAGCGAGCCACAAGAUCACAGGAGUUCUGCGAAGAACCAAUCGACUAAACGUCAAAUGUAACUCACUUCCGAGUGAAAAAGGGAAAAACACACGUUUCUAAGACUACAGCCGAAUACAAGCAUUCGACCGUAGUCUCGGGGACUACACCCAGUGGGUGCACUCAGCGUGCCCCCACUAAUCCUGUUGAAGACAAAGUCGACCAGUCGACCUCAAAAAAAAAAAACA